CAGUGUGAUUCGUCACACUAUCAUUAACUGAAUCCAUAGGUUAAUGAGGCGAACCGGGGGAACUGAAACAUCUAAGUACCCCGAGGAAAAGAAAUCAACCGAGAUUCCCCCAGUAGCGGCGAGCGAACGGGGAGCAGCCCAGAGCCUGAAUCAGUGUGUGUGUUAGUGGAAGCGUCUGGAAAGGCGCGCGAUACAGGGUGACAGCCCCGUACACAAAAAUGCACAUACUGUGAGCUCGAUGAGUAGGGCGGGACACGUGGUAUCCUGUCUGAAUAUGGGGGGACCAUCCUCCAAGGCUAAAUACUCCUGACUGACCGAUAGUGAACCAGUACCGUGAGGGAAAGGCGAAAAGAACCCCGGCGAGGGGAGUGAAAAAGAACCUGAAACCGUGUACGUACAAGCAGUGGGAGCCUCUUUAUGGGGUGACUGCGUACCUUUUGUAUAAUGGGUCAGCGACUUAUAUUCUGUAGCAAGGUUAACCGAAUAGGGGAGCCGAAGGGAAACCGAGUCUUAACUGGGCGUUAAGUUGCAGGGUAUAGACCCGAAACCCGGUGAUCUAGCCAUGGGCAGGUUGAAGGUUGGGUAACACUAACUGGAGGACCGAACCGACUAAUGUUGAAAAAUUAGCGGAUGACUUGUGGCUGGGGGUGAAAGGCCAAUCAAACCGGGAGAUAGCUGGUUCUCCCCGAAAGCUAUUUAGGUAGCGCCUCGUGAAUUCAUCUCCGGGGGUAGAGCACUGUUUCGGCAAGGGGGUCAUCCCGACUUACCAACCCGAUGCAAACUGCGAAUACCGGAGAAUGUUAUCACGGGAGACACACGGCGGGUGCUAACGUCCGUCGUGAAGAGGGAAACAACCCAGACCGCCAGCUAAGGUCCCAAAGUCAUGGUUAAGUGGGAAACGAUGUGGGAAGGCCCAGACAGCCAGGAUGUUGGCUUAGAAGCAGCCAUCAUUUAAAGAAAGCGUAAUAGCUCACUGGUCGAGUCGGCCUGCGCGGAAGAUGUAACGGGGCUAAACCAUGCACCGAAGCUGCGGCAGCGACACUAUGUGUUGUUGGGUAGGGGAGCGUUCUGUAA
rnacentral:rRNA from 1 species